rnacentral:rRNA from 1 species
UACGAAGGGAGCUAGCGUUGUUCGGAAUUACUGGGCGUAAAGGGCGCGUAGGCGGACAUCUAGUCAGGGGUGAAAAUCCCAGGGCUCAACCCUGGAAUUGCCUUGAUACUGGACGUCUCGAGUUCGGGAGAGGUGAGUGGAAUUCCAGGUGGUAGCGGUGAAAUGCGUAGAUAUCUGGAGGAACACCGGUGGCGAAGCGGCAUCCUGGACCGGCAUUGACGCUGAGGCGCCGAAAGCCAGGGGAGCAAAGCGGG